rnacentral:tRNA from 1 species
GACUUUUAAAAUCAGACUGCAAACCUGAAAGGCAUUAGUGCUAAAGUCU